UCACCCGAACCGACUCCAUCAUCGACAAUCCCAUCAACCAUCCCACCUUUUAUAUACGCCUUUCCCCUCGAUUGCCCCGUCCUCUCCUGCUCCCAUCGCCCGUCGCAGCCACGUCUUUGUUUCGUCGCGACACAAUCGUGAGGUAUACUAUAUGUUUCGUGUGGUCUGUUCUCUUUGAUUCAGGAUGUCUGAAGAGGUCGUUCCCGUGCCUAACGAUUUGCCUCAUCAGUACAUGUCUAUCCCUUAAGCCAAGUUCGUCUGAGAUUUUCUGGCGAUUCGCCUGUGAUGGCCGAAUCAGUCGUUGAUGGGUCAGAUUUUCUGGCGGUUCGCCUGUACAUGUCUAUCCCUUAAGCCAAGUUGCGUAGCUAUAAUUUUGCUUGUUAGCAAGGCUAGAUCUAGAUCCAUACAUGUCUGUUUCCUUUGUUUAUUUCACAAAAUCCCUAAUUCCUUUUCAUGCAUGAGCCAAUAUAUUCUCUAGAUAAGUUAGCCGAUUUUCUAUAUGCUGUUCAGAUAUCGACAGGUGGUGUGUUCUCUUUGAUUCAGGAUGUUGUGCCAUCCGAAGAGGUGGUUCCUGUGGUGACUCUCUAGUAGAUGUCUAUCCCUUGAUCCAAGUUCAUCUGAGGUUUUCUGGCGGUCCGCUUGUGACGCCUGAAUCAGUUGAUGCGCCAGAUCCGUCAGUUUAUGUUGUAUCCGGGCACGCCGACAGUUCAUGUUCAUCGUCUGUGCGAAGAAGGCUCUUAGGUGCUUGCUGCUGUUCACAAGGCGCCCGAGGUCAUCCGAUUUAUGGUUCAUGUUCGUGGUUCCUUUAGCUAACCACAUGAUGCUUUGCCCGUCUCCAAACAUCACAGAAAGGUAAUUGUGUUAGUAAGCUGAUUGGUGCGCAUGUGUGUACGUGCGUGCCUAUUGUGUUAUUACCUGUUGUAUUACAUUGGUAGCAUAGGACGGCCUUUGCCAUGUCGGGUGCGCUCGCUUGGCAGGCCACGAGACAAUAAAAGGAAUAUUUUGCUGGUGUCCGCGGGGUGGAGAUCGCACGGGAACUAUCAAUUUCUUCUAUUUUGCCCGGGUUCUCCACCCUGCCAUGGUGUCUCUGUCCUCCUUUCAUGUGUUGUUGAUUCUGCGAUAUCCUCAUGGUACACCACGAUCCUACAUAGUAACAAAUAUAUCGAUAGGCCUGGGUGCCGCGAUAAUUACAUACUGAAGAUCAAUGAUAACUGAUUUCUGAAGAUCAGGGACAACUACAAAACCAAGGUACAUCCAGCUGCUUCUAUCAGGCAAGCACUUCGUUAUAUCAAUUUAAAUUUGCAUGUGAACGUCACCCCGACGCAAAACAUAACCAUACUGAACAACCGCAUUUUGGUUUGAUACAAGAUCGGUUCAUACCUGUAAAUCUUGUGCUCUUGCACCGCGCCAGGACGAUAUAUAGUACUGAAAUACCCAUGAGAUAUCAUUAGCAUUCUUUUUCAAUGCAAUGUCUUCUGUUAGAAGAAAAGCGUUGUUGACUUUUUGCAGCACAAGCUUUUCCAGAAUUUUUGGUUACUUUGCAUAUUUUCGUCGAUGGUCGUCCAGUUGAAGAAGGCUCUCUGGUGCUCGCUGCUGCCCACAAGGCCCGGGAGGGAACUGGUCAUCCGAUUUGUACUUCAUGUUUGCUGAUCAAAUCCAGAUGAAGUUCGUGGUUCCUUUUGCUGACAAGAUGAUGCUUGCCUGUCCCCAAACAUCACAUAAAGGUAAUUGUGUUGGUAAGCUGAUUGAUGCGCAUGUGUGUACGUGCGUGUUGUAUUUGCAUACUUGCUGUACUACAUUGGUAGGGUAGGGCGGCCUUUGCCAUGUCGGGUGCGCUUGCUGGCAGGCCACGAGACAAUAAAAAGUAUAUUUUGUUGGUUUGCGGGGUGGAGAUCGCACGGGAACUAUCAAUUUGUUCUAUUUUGCCCGGGUUCUCCACCCUGCCAUGGUGUCUCUGUCCUUAACAUGUGUUCUUGAUUCCGCGAGAUCAUCUUAAAUUGCGCCACAAUCCUACAUAAACAGGCAUGGGUGCGGCGAUAACUACCUACUGAAGAGCAAUGAACAAACGAAGGUACAUCUCACUGCUUCUAUCGGGCAAAGCACUUCGCUAUAUCAAUUUAAAUUUGCAUAUGCACGUCAUCCCAACUCAAAGCGUACAUGGUGGUUUACCCUUCGUCAAUGAGCAACCUCUUGUUCAAUGUUACAAUGUCUUCUUUUAGAAAAAAGCCGCUGUUAACUUUUUUCAGCGCAGGCUUUUCCGAGAAGUUUUGGUUACUCUGCAUAUUUUCUAUUGUACAAUGUUAUGAGCUUUGUACCUUUGGUCGUAAUUCAACUAUUUCCUGUUAAUUCUCAUCCUGUGUGUGCAUAGGUGAGUUCAUUUGUUCUACCACCUGGUGUACAUAUUUAUUAUCAGUUCUAUAAAUACCAUUGAAGGGCUUGUUUUCUCCUUUGUAUACUUGUCAGUCUUCCAAAUUUGAUGCCUUGUUAAUGGCUGUGAGGACUCGAGCUUGUCCAUAUGUUCUUCAUCAUACUUCGGUGAUCAGCUGGAUUCCAGUUGAGGUUUACUGGAUGUAUAGCCUGUCAUAUCAGAAAAAUUAACGAUUAUGAAUGCCUUUUUUUAUCA